AUUGAACGCUGGCGGCAGGCCUAACACAUGCAAGUCGAGCGGAGCGGCGGACGGGUGAGUAAUGCCUAGGAAUCUGCCUGGUAGUGGGGGAUAAAGUCCGGAAACGGGCGCUAAUACCGCAUACUAUCAGAUGAGCCUAGGUUGGAUUAGCUAGUUGGUGGGUUAAAGGCAGACCAAGUAGACGAUCCGUCACUGGUCGGAGAGGAUGAUCAGUCACACUGGAACAGAGACACGGUACAGACGCCGUCGGGAGGUAGCAGUGGGGAAUAGUGGACAAUGGGCUAAAGCCUGAUCCAGCCAUGCCGCGUGUGUGAAGAAGGUCUUCGGAGUGUAAAGAACUUUAAGUUGGGAGGCGUUACCAACAGAAUAAGCACCGGCUAACUUCGUGCCAGCAGCCGCGGUAAUUC
rnacentral:rRNA from 1 species